UACAGAGGGGGCAAGCGUUAUUCGGAAUUAUUGGGCGUAAAGGGCGCGUAGGCGGCCAUUCAAGUGACGGGUGAAAGCCCUCGGCUUAACCGAGGAACUGCCUGUCAGACUGGAUGGCUUGAGACCGGGAGAGGUGAGUGGAAUUCCCAGUGUAGCGGUGAAAUGCGUAGAUAUUGGGAGGAACACCAGUGGCGAAGGCGGCUCACUGGACCGGAACUGACGCUGAGGCGCGAAAGCGUGGGGAGCAAACAGGG
rnacentral:rRNA from 1 species